GACGAACGCUGGCGGCGUGCUUAACACAUGCAAGUCGAACGAUGAAGCAAAGAAUCGAAGCUUCGGCAGAAAUUCAUUUCGGAUUAGUGGCAGACGGGUGAGUAACGCGUGAGCAACCUACCUCUUACAAAGGGAUAGCCUCGGGAAACCGGGAUUAAUACCAUAUAACAUUGUGACGAAGCAUUUCGAUGCAAUCAAAGCUACGGCGGUAAGAGAUGGGCUCGCGUCCCAUUAACCGGAUGGUGAGGUAACGGCUCACCAUAGUGACGAUGGGUAACCGGGCUGAGAGGGUGAACGGUCACACUGGAACUGAGACACGGUCCAGACUCCUACGGGAAGCAGCAGUGGGGAAUAUUGCACAAUGGAGGGAACUCUGAUGCAGCGACGCCGCGUGAGUGAUGAAGGAAUUCGUUUCGUAAAACUCUGUUCUAUGGGAAGAAAAGGACUGUACCAUAGGAGAAAGCUCCGGCUAAAUACGUG
rnacentral:rRNA from 1 species